UCUAAAAUUGGUUCGAACGAGAUCUAGUAAGUAGUUUUUUUUUAAUACGUCAUAAAUCAACUGAAACUUAAAUUUUUUCCAUCAAACCCAUACGUGUGGGAAAUCUAUGGAUAGAUCUUCAAAAAUGAUAUUGAGGUUUCUAAUAUCAUUUUUUUCUAAACUGAAUAGUUUGCGCGAGAGACACUU